GGGGCAGUAGCUCAGCUGGCCAGAGCACCACAUUUGCAAUGUGGGGGUCGCGGGUUCAAGUCCCGCCUGCUCCACCA
rnacentral:tRNA from 1 species